rnacentral:rRNA from 1 species
UACGUAGGGUGCGAGCGUUAAUCGGAAUUACUGGGCGUAAAGCGUGCGCAGGCGGUUUCUGAAGUCCGUUGUGAAAGCCCCGGGCUUAACCUGGGAAUGGCAGUGGAAACUAGGAGACUUGAAUCUGGCAGAGGGGGGUGGAAUGCCACGUGUAGCAGUGAAAUGCGUAGAGAUGUGGCGGAACACCGAUGGCGAAGGCAGCCCCUGGGUCAAGAUUGACGCUCAGGCACGAAAGCGUGGGAGCAAACAGG